CUAAAAAUACAAAAAUUAGCCAGGAGUGGUGGUGUGCCGAGACCAGCUCGGUCAGGGAGACCCUAACCCAGCGGUGCUAGAGGAAUUAAAGCCACACACACAGAAAUAUAGAGGUGUGAAGUGGGAAAUCAGGGGUCUCACAGCCUUCAGAGCUGAGAGUCCCAAACAGAGAUUUACCCACAUAUUUAUUAACAGCAAGCCAGUCAUUAGCAUUUUUCUAUAGAUAUUAAAUUAACUAAAAGUAUCCCUUAUGGGAAAUGAAGGGAUGGGCCAAAUUAAAGGAAUAGGCUGGGCUAGUUAACUGCAGCAGGAGCAUGUCCUUAAGGCACAGAUCGCUCAUGCUAUUGUUUGUGGCUUAAGAAUGCCUUUAAGCGGUUUUCUGCCCUGGGCGGGCCAGGUGUUCCUCCCGUGAACCCACAACCUUCCAGUGGGGCACUAGGGCCAUUAUGAACAUGUUACAGUGCUGCAGAGAUUUUGUUUAUGGCCAGUUUUGAGGCCAGUUUUUGGCCAGAUUUUGGGGGGCUUGCUCCCAACAUGUCCCCCUUCUUUGAUUUGCAAAUUGAUAAAAGCAAAGGCAGCUUUGUCACAGUGAGCUAUGAGAUGCCACUAUACCACCAUGAUUCCAGAUAAUAGGAACUCUUGCUGUACUUCUUAUCAUUUCUACCAUCUGACCAUUUUGUUCAGACCAGCUGAACAUAGUGUGGCCAUGGCACGCAGACUGAGAGGUGGGGGUGAGGGAAUGGCCUGAGCUGGAAAUGCCCUGGUUUAGAACAGGGCCCAGGACGGGCCCCUGAUGGCAUUUCCCAAAAUCGGGUUCCCAUCUUUAUCAAACUUAGAGUGACAGUGAGGAGCCCAAUGUUUUCCUUUUUUAUACUUUGGACAUAUUUCAGGCUCAGCAAUUUUCUUUUUUCCCCUAUCUGGCAGCCUGACUUGCUGAUUUUUUUCUACAUUCUUUUUCAGUAUGACCAUGCUUCCCACAGUUAAAAUAAGCUCC
rnacentral:lncRNA from 10 species